UAUGUGGCUCACGCCUGUCAUCCUACUACUCAGGAGGCUGAGAUCUGAGGAUUGCAGUUCAAAGCCAGUACUGGCAGGAAAAGCUGUGAAACUCUUAUCUCCAAUAAACCACCAGAAAACCGGAAGUG